AUUGGAUUUUGAAUAGAUCAACCACAGAAAUACAGAAUAAAUGAAAUUGUGGUUAAGUGUUUAGUGUUUGAUCACUGAUGAAAAAUUCCUUUUUAUUAUAUUUUACCGACUUUAUUUUAUACAAAAAUGUUUAAAAAAUCAGAACAUUUUAUUAAAGUUUUCUACAUAAACCAUUUUUCUAUUAAUACAAACGUCAUUAUAAAAUAAAAAAUUACAACAACAUAAUAUACAUAAUUAACAUUUUAAUAACAUUAUAAUUUUUAACUGGAAAUAAUAUUGAUGGAAUUCACCUAAGUAUUGUUGGCUCAGAUUUAUGAUUUGAAGCUAAUCUUAAGAUUCCACGCUAUAUGGAUUCCUUGAUGUUAGGUGUGCUUUUCCCUUGUAAACUGGGCCGUCGCCGAAAGAGUAGGCGUGACGUGGACGGGUUUGCCCGGUACAACCCGUCUGUGGUUGGUUGCAACUUUUAUUAUAAGCAGUUUUGUUUGUUCGGACAUGUGCCCGUUGGACUGUACGUCAGGAGAAAUUUGGUCAGGCUGAUACAAAUUCUCACGUAUGACAUACUGAAAUGUACCAGCAAACAAGGUGAAAGUUAGGUUUAUUUUGUUUUUAUUUUAAUUUUAUUUUUUUUGUCUAUAGGCCACUGAACGAUGGGUGUUGUUUUUGUUUAACAUGAUUUUCGGUGAAUGUGAUAUGGGGACUAAUUCUUCCGACUGGUUUUCGUUAAACAACUUGUCCGUGAUUAUAGAACUGUCUCGGACACAGCCCUGGAGACUGUCCAUUUCAGGGAAUGUGUCACCUGAAGAUGUUUUGAUUCAAUUUGGUUUCAACGCACUGACGCUUAGAUCCCCAACCAAGAUGAAAUAUUCCUCAGAGGAAGAGAUAGUGUUAAGCCACCUUAUAAUGACCGGUGAUGAGGUGCUUAACACAGCACCUUAGAAUACAAGUACUUCAGUAUGAAUGACAUCAUCAAAGUCACUAGGUGCAAAGAAAUACGUGUUGGCGAUUCAGGGGCGGCAGACCACAUGCAUAAUACAUAUUAGUUUGAUUCGACAAAUGCGUGAUGUUCCGUGACGGAAAUGGAGGCAUGUUGUUUUUUUAUUUUACGAACUAUCGGAGCAUAUAGCGAAUACAUCGUAGCGCACAAAGCCUGUCGUUUACGGUGAAGGGCGACCAAAAGGUCUGCAUCCUGCGACGAGUGUCAAGCACUGUACAGAGAUCUAGGUAGGCAGAGGGAGGAUUCACAUUUGUUGGUUAACUACCAAUGCUGAGUAUACAACAUAGUAUCAAGUAUCAGUUUAUUUUAGCAUAACUAAUUAAAGUGAAGUCGAUCGUUUAAAAAACUCCCCGAACACAAUACAUGCUGCACAUGUCACUUCGAGUGAACGCAGGGUCAUAAAAAAGCCGUAAAUAUUGAACUUUUACAUGGAUUUUAUCUAGAAAAUAAUAUUUAAACAAGACUUAUGUUGACCAAAGUUGUGGUGAUAACGCAAACCACAUCAUGUGAUCAUUUACUCAACUAUUUAUUAUUCGUCGAACAGAUCAAAAAUCGUUUGCAGUAGGUUCUGCAAUUACAGACACUACACACCUCCACCAGUUGCUAAAUUUAUUUUAUAUUCAUUUGGAAUCAAGAACC